rnacentral:tRNA from 1 species
GUCACUUUGCCGGAGUGGUUAACGGGAUCGCCUGCUAAUUCAGCACAGCGGUUGGGCUUUGCCCGCGAGUGUUCGAAUCGCUCAGGUGACG